rnacentral:rRNA from 1 species
UGGGGAAUUUUGGACAAUGGGGGAAACCCUGAUCCAGCCAUGCCGCGUGCGGGAAGAAGGCCUUCGGGUUGUAAACCGCUUUUGGCAGGAACGAAACGGCGCGGGCCAAUACCUCGCGCUAAUGACGGUACCUGCAGAAUAAGCACCGGCUAACUACGUGCCAGCAGCCGCGGUAAUACGUAGGGUGCAAGCGUUAAUCGGAAUUACUGGGCGUAAAGCGUACGCAGGCGGCUGUGCAAGACAGGUGUGAAAUCCCCGGGCCCAACCUGGGAACUGCAUUUGUGACUGCACGGCUAGAGUCCGUAAGAGGGGGGUGGAAUUCCACGUGUAGCAGUGAAAUGCGUAGAGAUGUGGAGGAACACCGAUGGCGAAGGCAGCCCCCUGGGAUGAGACUGACGCUCAUGUACGAAAGCGUGGGGAGCAAAACAGGAUUAGAUACCCUGGUAGUCCACGCCCUAAACGAUGUCGACUAGUUGUCGGGUCUUUACAGACUUGGUAACGCAGCUAAC